rnacentral:lncRNA from 1 species
GGAAUCCAGGUGAUCUACCUUCCUCUAACAACUUAAGUAUCUUUUUGAUCUCUUCAUCCUCCUUCUGAUCCUUGCUAAUCUCUUGCUCAAGGGUUGGUUCUAUAUCCAUAGAAGUACCCUAGGUGUUGGCAACAAACCCCAAGUUGAGAUAUUCAAAUUCUGCCAGCAGUUCCAUUGGUAACUCUGUGGCUUCCAACAUAUUCACUUGACUCUUUGUACUCAGAGCAUCAGCAACUACAUUAGCUUUGCCUGGGUGGUAGUGGAUCUCCAGUUCAUAAUCCUUG